CUUUGACAAGUACUGUUCUGAUACUUUUUAUAAAUUUGAAAAAAAAGUUUACAUUCUAAUAUUAAGUGCAAAAGCAAGCUACUAAAUGUCAUAAACUAUAAAAUCAUGAUUAUGGUAACAUGUAUUUAAGAAACAGGCAGGAAAUCUAUUAAAAUAUUAACCUAUCAACUAAAAGAGUAAUCUUGGGGAGGGAGACUUACAGUUUUUAUAUUUAUUUUGCUUCCUAUAUUUUCUAGUUUUUCUACAAUGAACAUGUAUUGCCUUUAUAGUUCAGCAAAUUUACUUUUCUUUUUUCUUUUGGUUAAGCAGUCUCAGAAGGAAUCAUUUUCUUUCCACCUACAAUGUUAGAUCCACCUGAAUGAAAUACGCCUUUCAUUGCGUCCUGAGAAGACGGAAGAAUCAUAAAAAGCCUUCAGAAGCCCUUGAGGAAUUUUGAGGGCAGUAAAAGCAAAGACUGUAAACCGAAGAAAAAUACACAAAGAUGUAAGAGCAGUAAGAGCAAAGUGGGGACAAGGGAUAUUGAGUAUCUGAAGGGAAAAAUAAGAAGCAUAGCCUAUCCUGGAAAAGAAAAGAAACGUCAUGGUAAAAAAACAACUGCGGUUUUUGUGAACACCUACUACGGUAAGGAACAGGCCAGCCAUAGCCCACACCCAGGUGGCUGACAAGAGCUCGCCAGAUCACAGGGCCACCUUCCUGCCUGAGAGCUGGAUGCCCUCUGCAUCUUCCUGGGCUUUACAGCACAUGGGAUCUGUUUACAUGUGGUCUCCGCAGACUCGUGUCAAGAUCCUAAGUCAGUGAAUCCCGAGGGAAGCAAAAGGCAGGGGUGGAAGCAUGGUAAGGAGGUGUAAACACCCUUUUGUAAGCCCCAUGGAGGGGUAUAGGCUUCAACAGGGAGCAGUUUAAGAUACUUUGGAGAUUGACUGUUUGGGGUUAAGUGUUGGCUCCACUACUUAUACUCAUGUGGUUUUAGAUGCUUUUCUUAAUCUCUCUGUGCUCUGGUUUCUGUAAAAUAGUAAUAAGUAUCCUAUUUAGUUAUUUUGAGGACUAAAUAGAUAAUUCCAGCCCUCCAUAUCCCUGGGUUUCUCAUUUGUAAAUUCAACCAACUGUGGGCCAAAAAUAUAUGGAAAAAAAUGGAACGUGUACUCAACAUGUACAGACAUUUUUCUUGUCAUUAUUCUCUAAGCAAUGUAGUAUUCAGCACUAUUUACAUAGCAUUUGCAGUAUAUUAGGUAUUAUAAGUAGCCUAGAGAUAAUUUAAAGGAUGUGGGAAGAUGUAUGUAGGUUACAUGCAAAUAGUACACCAUUUUAUAUAAGGGACUUGAGAAUUUUGGUAACUGAAGGGGCUCCUGGAACCAAUUUCCCAUAGAUACAGAAAAAUGACUGCAUAUGUAAAAGACUUAGCAGUGAGCCUUUUAUAAAUGGUUGCAUUAGUAUUAAUAAAGAAGUAAAUAACACCUAUAAAUAGUUACCCAGGGUUUCCCGGAUUACAGCUGCUAUGGUCUGAAUGUUUAAGUGCUCCCAGAAUUUAUAUGUUGAAACCUAGUCACCAGUGCUAUAAUAUUAAGAAAUGGGGCUUUGGGAGGUGAUUGGGAAUGGCAUUAAUAGCACAGGAACAGAAAACCAAACAUGUUCUCAUUUGUAAGUGGGAGCUGAACAAUGAGAACACAUGGACACAGGGAGGGGAACAACACAUACUGGGGCCUGUCAUGGGGAGGGGAGGAGGGAGGAACAGCAUUAGGAAAAAUAGCUAAUGCAUGCUGGGCUUAAUAUUUUGGUGAUGGGUCUAUAGGUGUAGCAAACCACCAUGGCACAUGUUUACCUAUGUAACAAACCUGCACAUUCUGAACAUGGACCUCGGAACUUAAAAAAAGAAGAUAAAAGGCUUGAGCGAGCCUGUUUGCCCCUUCCACCAUGCGAGGACACAUACAAGGCACCAUCUAUGAGGAACGAGCUCCCAACGAGCUCCCAACAGAUGCUGAUUUUGCUGGUGUCUCGAUCUUGGACAACCUCCAGAAUUGUCUAUGAGUCAGCUAUGACUCUGUGGUGCUUUGCUGGCCUCAGCUGGACUUGGCUUCAGGCUGUAGGUUGGGUUCAUAUCUGAUCAAUGGGGCUCUCAUUCUGAGACUCAGGCUGAAGGCCACCUGAAUUCUACUCUUCUCACAGUGAAUGAGAAGCUCAUAAGAGUACAUGAGGACAGUAGGAAACUUGCCAUGUGUCUUAAAGCCUCACCUUGGAACAUGCUGUCUCCUCCAUCUAUGUUCUAUUGCUCAAAGCAAGUUAUAUGGCCAAGUCCAAUGCCAGUGGGAUGGAAAGUACACUCUGUUCACAGGACAGUCACAGCAGUGGCAAAGCGGGAAGGAGGAAUCAUGGACAAAUAAUAAAUACUAUUUAUAUACUACAAGGAUCUAUAAAAAUAACAAAAGAAUGAGCUGAGAAGGACUGAACUCACAUUAUGGCACAGACUUAGAACAGUUUAGCAAACAAUAAACUGCAAUUGCAUCGUGUUUGUGUAUUCUAAACUCACAACCCAAACCCCUUCAAAAUCUAGUCAGACAAAACCAGCAAAUUAUCCGUAAAGAUGCAUGUGCACAUGUACCCAGAGGACUUAUGGUGCAAAGCGCAUACCCAGCAUUAACCAUGACACCCUUCUAGUCUUGCUUACAAAACCCCUCUCACCAAGGCUCUGGAGAAACCCUAGCCAGAAAAGGCAAGAAGAAAAGGCCUGGGUCAGUUCCCAGCUCACUUAUAAACCUUCCUGAUCCAGACAGUGCUUGGAUCAGAGCUGAUCUGCCCCUGAUGAGGAAUUUUUAAGUCUCUCUCUGCUAUUGUUUUCAGUUGAGCGCAAUCAUCAACUGAACACCUUUUAUGCUGGUCCUUUCUGUCAUUUUUGGCUACUGCACACAUAUAUACAUAUUCAGGGAUGUCAAGUGGGGAAUUUCUCUUUCAAAUGUUCAAUACAUAAAUAAUUACAUAAAACAGUGAAUGAGUAUCUGCAAAAGAACCUGCUGUGGAAGCCAAGGGACUACAGGUGGGAGACAAAUGAAUUCUGACUAGCACUUUCAGAUGAUUUCCUCACACUCAGCAGUCCUUUAUCUGUGAUUACUUCCUGUGUCCUGCUAUCACUUUCCUGCUCCUCCCCUACUUUUUUAUCUGCCCCAAAGCUAGAGUUUGAAAUUGUCUAAUAAUUUCAUUCACUUAUACUUACAUUACUAUUUACCAUCUAAAUGAGUUAAUUGGCUCCACUUGGAACACUGACAUUCUCUUUCAGUUCCCUUUUUUUUUUUUUUUUCUGGGCAAAAUCAUUUGCUAGCUUUAUCCUUAUGGGUUGAAAAGGCACAUAUUCCACCCUGGGAGGAGGCCAUUUCCUGUUCAUGGAACCUGCCCGUCCUGAGUGUUCACUGGAGAGGCGGUGGACUCACCCCCUUCUCAGUUCAAGGACAUACUCGGGCUACUUCUUUUCCAGCUGGUAGAUACACAGGAAGAUACUGCAUCUCAUGGACUAAUGGACUUUCAAGUCAGCUUGGGGGGGUCACAUCUGUUUUAUGCAAGCAGACAAGGUGAAUUAUUGAACUAACAGCUUUCUCAG
rnacentral:lncRNA from 1 species